UACGUAGGGACCGAGCGUUGUCCGGAAUCAUUGGGCGUAAAGAGCGUGUAGGCGGCCCUUUAAGUCCUGCGUGAAAUCCUGCGGCUCAACCGCAGACGGUCGUGGGAAACUGGAGGGCUAGAGUGCGGGAGAGGAAAGUGGAAUUCCUGGUGUAGCGGUGAAAUGCGUAGAUAUCAGGAGGAACACCGGUGGUGUAAACGGCUUUCUGGACCGUAACUGACGCUGAUGCACGAAAGCGUGGGUAGCAAACAGG
rnacentral:rRNA from 1 species